rnacentral:rRNA from 1 species
AGAGUUUGACUCCUGGCUCAGACGAACGCUGGCGGCAGGCCUAACACAUGCAAGUCGAACGAGAAGCCACCUUCGGGUGGUGGACAGUGGCGAGACGGGUGAGUAACGCGUGGGAACGUGCCUUUCGGUUCGGAAUAACCCAGGGAAACUUGGGCUAAUACCGGAUACGCCUUCGGGGAAAGAUUCAUUGCCGAAAGAUCGGCCCGCGUCGGAUUAGCUAGUUGGUGGGGUAAUGGCUCACCAAGGCGACGAUCCGUAGCUGGUCUGAGAGGAUGACCAGCCACACUGGGACUGAGACACGGCCCAGACUCCUACGGGAGGCAGCAGUGGGGAAUAUUGGACAAUGGGCGAAAGCCUGAUCCAGCCAUGCCGCGUGGGUGAAGAAGGCCUUAGGGUUGUAAACCCCUUUCAGCGGGGAAGAUAAUGACGGUACCCGCAGAAGAAGUCCCGGCUAACUCCGUG